rnacentral:rRNA from 1 species
CUUGAACGCUAGCGGCAUGCCUUACACAUGCAAGUCGAACGGUAACGCGGGGCAACCUGGCGACGAGUGGCGAACGGGUGAGUAAUGCAUCGGAACGUGCCCAGUAGUGGGGGAUAGCCCGGCGAAAGCCGGAUUAAUACCGCAUACGACCUACGGGUGAAAGCGGGGGAUCGCAAGACCUCGCGCUAUUGGAGGGGCCGAUGUCAGAUUAGGUAGUUGGUGGGGUAAAGGCCUACCAAGCCUUCGAUCUGUAGAUGGUCUGAGAGGACGACCCGCCACACUGGGACUGAGACACGGCCCAGACUCCUACGGGAGGCAGCAGUGGGGAAUUUUGGACAAUGGGCGCAAGCCUGAUCCAGCCAUGCCGCGUGCGGGAAGAAGGCCUUCGGGUUGUAAACCGCUUUUGUCAGGGAAGAAACGCUCUGGGCUAAUACCCCGGGGUAAUGACGGUACCUGAAGAAUAAGCACCGGCUAACUACGUGCCAGCAGCCGCCGUAACAC